rnacentral:rRNA from 1 species
AUAUUCAGCUUGGAAGAGCUAGAGCAAGCAACCAACAAAUUUGACCAUAAUCGCAUCCUUGGCGGUGGUGGCCAUGGCACGGUUUAUAAAGGCAUCUUAUCUGACCAACAUGUUGUGGCCAACAAAAAGGCUAAAAUUGUCGUUCAAAGGGAAAUCGACCAGUUCAUAAACGAGGUUGUCAUACUUUCCCAGACAAACCAUAGGAAUGUGGUGAAGCUCUUUGGCUGCUGCCUCGAGGCAGAAGUUCCUCUACUUGUUUAUGAGUUCAUAUCAAAUGGAACUCUCGCCUUUUAUCUCCAUGGCCAAAGUUAGAACCAUCUAUCAUGGAAAGAUAGGUUGAGGAUUGCACUGGAAACUGCAAGGGCCAUUGCAUAUCUACACUCUGCUGCUUCCAUAUCAGUGUACCAUAGAGAUAUCAAAUGUGCAAAUGUACUACUUACUGACACUUUAACAGCAAAAAUAUCUGAUUUUGGAGCUUCAAGGUCAAUUGCAAUAGAUGAAACAGGAAUACUCACAUCUGUCCAAGGAACUUAUGGUUACCUUGAUCCUGAAUACUACUACACUAGUCGACUCACGGAGAAGAGUGACGUCUAUAGCUUUGGUGUCAUCCUAGCAGAGCUACUGACAAAGGUGACACCGGUUUUUUCUUCUCAUUCAUCGAAACAAUCCUAG